UAGGGAAUCUUCGGCAAUGGGGGGAACCCUGACCGAGCAACGCCGCGUGAGUGAAGAAGGUUUUCGGAUCGUAAAGCUCUGUUGUUAAGGAAGAACGAGUGUGAGAAUGGAAAGUUCAUACUGUGACGGUACUUAACCAGAAAGGGACGGCUAACUACGUGCCAGCAGCCGCGGUAAUACGUAGGUCCCGAGCGUUGUCCGGAUUUAUUGGGCGUAAAGCGAGCGCAGGCGGUUAGAUAAGUCUGAAGUUAAAGGCAGUGGCUCAACCAUUGUAGGCUUUGGAAACUGUUUAACUUGAGUGCAGAAGGGGAGAGUGGAAUUCCAUGUGUAGCGGUGAAAUGCGUAGAUAUCAGGAGGAAUACCGGUGGCGAAGGCGACUUACUGGACUUAAACUGACGCUCAGGCACGAAAGCGUGGGGAGCAAACAGG
rnacentral:rRNA from 1 species